GGCACUGUUUUAGAGAACUUGUCUGUACUUUCCUUUGUACUUGUCUAUUUGCCUUUGAGUAUUUUAUGUUAAUUCUUCCAUUAAAACAAAGAAACUAGAUGGAAGAGUGACAGUUACAUUCUACAUGAUCUUGUAACAGUAUACAGUACUUCAGUCACCAGCUUCUGUGGUAUUGACAGGUACUAAGUGUCUGCAGCCUGUAGAUACCAAGUUUGGCAGGAGUGUGUUAUAGCAUUGUGUCACAGAAAGAUCUGGCAUGCUUCUAUUGACUUUAUUUCACAAAGAGAAAAAUAAUGAGCCACUAACAAGUGAGACUGAACUCUUUGGGCCAAUGACAUGGAAAACAUGACGUGAGGACAACUCUAGGACACAUGAUCUAAGAAGUAUGAUUCUAGUUUGGGAGGCAGCAGGUCUGAAUACCCUGAUCCUUCUCAAAGUCUAAUAAGUAAGACUCAAUAUCAGCCUUACAGCUGGAAGACUCCGCAAAAUAUUUUUGUGCAGUCUGGCAACUCACAGUGCUUGAACUAAUGGGAAAAGCUGUACAAAAAAUAUUGUAUUCCUGUUAUAAUUUCAUAAAAACAUAGAUAAUGGAAUAGAUUCUGAAAGUCAGAAGGACUGAUUUGUUAUUGUUUGAUCUUAAAGUAAUGCAUGUACAGGAAAACCUAACUAGAGCCCUAGAACCCAGUAAACAAGAGAUACAUUAACUAUUUGGAUAAGACUGCCUUUCAUUAAGAAAGCUGAAGGUAUAUGAGCUUCCUAAAAGAGUCAUUAGACUCUGGAUGGAGGAAAGGAGGCAUAGGCUAAAUGAUGACUGUAAAUAGAUUAUAAGGGUUCAUCGCAUAUACUAAAUUAUAUUUUAAAUGGGCUGGUAAAGUUAUUCUGCUGAAUAAUUACCAGUGUAUGUCAACUUGUUUAUUCUUCAGUUCUCCUCAACUCAAACCUUUCAUGAGGAUUGCUUUUUUCAGGUCCCUUUCAGAUAUGCAUAGGUCAUUAUUGACCAGGUAAUUCAUGACCAGAGAAAGAUAAGUAGACAAAACAAAGGUAUGUGGUGAGUCAGACUUUUUCUCAUCUGUGCACAGAUCACGUGGUCUAUAAACAUGACAACUCCUACUUCCUGUUGGGGGAAGACACACAGGUACUGGGUACUAUGUAUUUGGGCUGUCAGGCAUUCAAAGACAUUGAACUCUCAGCUUGAGGCAGAACUGAGCACAUUUGUGCAGUGGAAUCCAUGCCUCAUGCCGCUCUCCAGUCUGCUCUGGGUGUUCCUGGCCAUCACCUUCUCUGGAUCUUGUGUGGCCCAGAAAGUUACUCAAGACCAGCCAUACGUAACCAGUCAAAUAGGGCAAUCUGUCAUUCUGAACUGUCGGUAUGAAGUAAGUUGGAGUAGGUACAAGCACUACCUUUAUUGGUACAAGCAGCUUUCCAGUGGAGAGAUGACUUUCCUUAUUCGUCAGGAAUCUUCUGGCCCAAAUGCAAGGAACGGCCGCUACUCUGUAAACUUUCAGAAAGCACAGAACUCCAUCAGCCUCACCAUUUCAGCCUUACAGCUGGAAGACUCUGCAAAGUACUUUUGUGCAGUCCGGGAACUCACAGUGCUUGAAGUAAUGAGAAAAGCUGUACAAAAACCCCAGAGUGUAAUAAGAGAGAGCCCCCCUGCUGCAGAACCCCAGCUGAAAUGCCCACCUGCAGACCUCAGACAAGAAAUGGUAGUCCUGUGGUUGCUUCGUCUGUGGUCUAGAUUAGAGGAUUUAAUUUUAAACAAAAACUCCUUCCAUGUCAUUUGGAAACAGGUGUCCAGAGUAUCUUUCUACUAAUACAUUCUGAGUCUUGAAUUUUUGACUUUCAAACAAUCAUACGGAACAUGCGUUGUCUAAAGUUGAAUAUUUGCCCCAUAAUACAUCAAACUGGCAGCUUCGCCUAAAGACCCUCACAUGACAAACAUGGGUCUAGUUAUAGUUAUCUGGAAUCAUCAAGAAAAUCAUUUCCUUAGUCCUUUCCUCUUAGACUUUGUGUCAUUGAAGUUACAAUCAGAAAAGCAGAACCACUAAUGGUGUCGAAUAGGAGAUUAGUUAUCGAGAUUAGAACUCAGACAAUUGCUAGAGCUGGAGGAGUCUAUACAAAGCUGUUAUCUUUGUAUCUGGUGUUGAGACUGAAUUCACUUUUAUCCAGCAAGAGUAACAUUUGAGGGAAAGUUGGGUGUAGACAAAAGCAUGGACGAACUGUGAUUCAUAAGGACAUACUAGAACCAUGAGGAUAACAGAACCUGCAUAACACACUAAAACUUGUCUCUCACCUCCUUUAGUGUCUCACAAGAACGAGUGACCUUGAGGAGAAGAGUGUCACCUGCUGUUAUUCUACACGCAUACUUGGCCCAGGACGAACAGAAGAUUUGGAGAUCUGGUGGGAAGUGGAAGAGUUGUGUGUCAUCAAUAAGAUGAUGAAGUUGAUCAGCAGCAACAUGUAGAAUCAGGUUCCAGCACAGUGGAUGCAGCAGGCAUGAAAGCUGAAGCACUGCCACCUGGUGUCCCACUCAAACACUUUGUGGGGCCUACACCAGCCUCCUUGCUCCCCUCAGGGAUCGUGGGUCAAAUUGUGCAGAAGCCCAGUCACCAUAGGAGCUGCCAUUUCUGAAUCAGUUAGUAAACUUCACAAUGCAGAAAUCAGGAGUGAGAGAAUUCAGGAGAACUGGCUGCUUUUUAAUCUUUUGCCUGCCAGAUGUGAACUUGAUUGACUUCAAAUGAUACAUUGAACAUGGAGAGUAAUACGCUACCUUGGACAGAAAGUUUGGAAUUGUUGCACAAGGUGGGAAGUUUUUCCUCUGGAAAGUGAAUUUUGUCUACUGCUCUGUCUUUCUUGUAGAAUAUAAAUAUGAUGAGAAAUGGGAGCAGGACUCAAUAAUGGGAAAAAAUGAAACAAUCAUAGCAAACAUGACUUUGUAUAUUUAUUUAAUAUUAUAAUAUUAGUAAUACACCCAAUCUCUAAACAUAGCACUCUAAUGAACAAAGUUCCCGUUAACAGUAAGAACAUGAUAGAUUAGAUACUUAUGUGCUGUGUUAUCAGGACACAACAACUUAGGUUAUAUUUCCAGAUCUGCCACUAGUUAGUUGAGUGAUCUUGGGAAGGUGACUUAAUAAUUUUUAUGCUUCAGAAUUCUAUUUUACUAGCUGCAGGAAUGCCAUGGCUGUUGGAAUUAUUUUUGUUCUGCAUAUAGAUCCUCAAGUAGAUGUGAAAUUGAAACAGUCUGUUUAAUUUUGAUAAUUAAUAGAGAUACAGUCAUGCCCUUUUAAAUAGCCCUAUUAGAAUAAACAUACUGUCUAUGGCAGAUGGGUACCAGAGUGUAAUGAAGCACAUACACCUUCAAUAAACAUCAAGGUCAUGUCAGCUUAUCUCUUGUAGAGCACCCACAUCCAUUUCCUCAUUUCUAAACUCUUUGCUACUCUUCUAAUUCAGCCAUUUGGUACUUCUUUCUUGUAUAACUGCAGGGACCUCUUAGGUUUCUUCCUGGCUUUACUCUCAACUCCUUGAAUCUAACUUAUACAUGACCUGGAAUAACAGGCAAAUUUGGCCUUGGAGUACAGAAUGAAGCAGGGCAAAGGCUAAUAGAGUUUUGCCAAGAGAACGUACUGGUCAUAGCAAAAACCCUCUUCUAACAACACAAGAGAAGACUCUACACAUGGAUAUCACCAGCUGGUCGACACCAAAAUACGAUUGACUUUAUUAUUUGCAGCCAAAGAUGGAGAAGCUCUAUGCAGACAGCAAAAACAAGAUCAGGAGCUGAUUGGCUCGGAUCAUGAACUCCUUAUGCCAAAUUCAGACUGAAAUUGAAGAAAGUGGAGAAA